rnacentral:rRNA from 1 species
ACGCACGCUGGCGGCGUGCUUAACACAUGCAAGUCGAACGGAAAGGCCCCUUUGGGGGUCCUCGAGUGGCGAACGGGUGAGUAACACGUGAGUAACCUGCCCUUGACUUCGUGAUAACUUCAGGAAACUGGGGCUAAUACCGGAUAGGAAUCCUUGCUGCAUGGUGGGGGUUGGAAAGCUUCGGCGGUUUUGGAUGGACUCGCGGCUUAUCAGCUUGUUGGUGGGGUAGUGGCUUACCAAGGCUUUGACGGGUAGCCGGCCUGAGAGGGCGACCGGCCACAUUGGGACUGAGAUACGGCCCAGACUCCUACGGGAGGCAGCAGUGGGGAAUAUUGCACAAUGGGCGGAAGCCUGAUGCAGCAACGCCGCGUGCGGGAUGACGGCCUUCGGGUUGUAAACCGCUUUCAGCAGGGGCGAAGCUUGUGGUGACGGUACCUGCAGAAGAAGCACCGGCUAACUACGUG